rnacentral:rRNA from 1 species
UUUAUGGAGAGUUUGAUCCUGGCUCAGGAUGAACGCUGGCGGCGUGCCUAAUACAUGCAAGUCGAGCGAACAGAUAAGGAGCUUGCUCCUUUGACGUUAGCGGCGGACGGGUGAGUAACACGUGGGUAACCUACCUAUAAGACUGGGAUAAC